rnacentral:rRNA from 1 species
CACGCCUAACACAUGCAAGUCGAACGAAGUAGCAAUACUUAGUGGCAGACGGGUGAGUAACAUGUAGGUAUCUGCCCUUUGGCCUGGAAUAACACGAGGAAACUUGUGCUAAUACCGGAUAAGUCUUCACGGAGAAAGCUUUAUGCACCAUUGGAUGAGCCUGCACUUGAUUAGUUUGUUGGUGGGGUAAUGGCCCACCAAGACUUUGAUCAAUAGCUGAUUUGAGAGGAUGAUCAGCCACAUUGGGACUGAGACACGGCCCAAACUCCUACGGGAGGCAGCAGUGGGGAAUCUUGCACAAUGGAGGAAACUCUGAUGCAGCGAUGCCGCGUGAGUGAAGAAGGCCCUUGGGUUGUAAAGCUCUUUCGUCGGGGAAGAAAAUGACUGUACCCGAAUAAGAAGGUCCGGCUAACUUCGUGCCAGCAGCCGCGGUAAUACGAAGGGACCUAGCGUAGUUCGGAAUUACUGGGCUUAAAGAGUUCGUAGGUGGUUGAAAAAGUUGGUGGUGAAAUCCCAGAGCUUAACUCUGGAACUGCCAUCAAAACCUUUCAGCUAGAGUUUGAUAGAGGAAAGCAGAAUUUCUAGUGUAGAGGUGAAAUUCGUAGAUAUUAGAAAGA